UAAAAAAAAAAACAGAACAAUCGAUUGUUUUUAUACAGUCUAGUAUAUACGAUGUAUAAAGUGCGGUUAAAUUUGUAAACCUGAUUGCAUAUUUCCCGUCGAGAAUCCACCGGCCAGAGUUUAAUUGUCUCGCAGUUUCGUGACUAAUGUAUUUUUCUGACCUUGUCCAAUAACAGGUUUCUUCCCACAGGACAGUCAUUUUGCGAAUCACGUACAUACAUUGAUUCAUACAUAUAAUCCAGUAUUAUUAUACCGCAGCGACAAGAUUUAUACUAUUACCAAACCAUUGAUUAAGUAGUUAUAAGUGUCAUGUGGAGAUUGGCAAUUACAUUUUAAUAUCGUGACACGAGUUGCAUCAUAUAUACUUAACAAUGCAGUAAUAUCAAAAGUAACAUGACUAGGCUAUAUUUAGCGGAUCGUUCUUCAAGUGAUCGAUAAUUUCGAUUACAGAUCUCGGACGACGCAGAGCGCCUUUGAUGGACGCUUGAGGAUAAAUGGUGAAGAACUGUCAGUAACGAUGGGCGUCAAUCGAACUUCCGAAACGUACAGUUGACCAGAAUCGCAAAAUGUCUAUCUAUCGCCACCUCGGAAGA